rnacentral:rRNA from 1 species
AGAACGAACGCUGGCGGCAUGCCUAACACAUGCAAGUCGAACGCUCCUGGGGCUUCGGUCUCAGGGGAGUGGCGCACGGGUGAGUAGCGCGUGGGAACCUGCCCUGUUGUGGGGGAUAACCGAGGGAAACUUCGGCUAAUACCGCAUAAGCCGGUUGUCUUGAAAGAGAUGACCGGGAAAGAUUUAUCGCGACAGGAGGGGCCCGCGUCGGAUUAGCUAGUUGGUGGGGUAACGGCCCACCAAGGCAGUGAUCCGUAGCUGGUCUGAGAGGAUGAUCAGCCACACUGGGACUGAGACACGGCCCAGACUCCUACGGGAGGCAGCAGUGGGGAAUAUUGGACAAUGGGCGCAAGCCUGAUCCAGCAAUGCCGCGUGAGUGAUGAAGGCCUUAGGGUUGUAAAGCUCUUUCGCCCGCGACGAUGAUGACGGUAGCGGGAGAAGAAGCCCGGCUAACUUCGCGCCAGCAGCCGCGGU